rnacentral:rRNA from 1 species
UACGUAGGAUGCGAGCGUUGUCCGGAAUUACUGGGCGUAAAGGGCGCGUAGGCGGCAAUUCAAGUCAUCUGUGAAAUCUCCGGGCUUAACUCGGAACGGUCAGAUGAUACUGCUUUGCUCGAGUGCGGAAGGGGCAAUCGGAAUUCUUGGUGUAGCGGUGAAAUGCGUAGAUAUCAAGAGGAACACCUGAGGUGAAGACGGGUUGCUGGGCCGACACUGACGCUGAAGCGCGAAAGCCAGGGGAGCAAACGGG